AAUCUUGUUUCCUGUGAACGUAUGACAUAAUUUUCAUUUCAGUGUACCAAAGAAAAUGACGAAAUCUUAAUAAAAUCCAGAGAUUAGUAAAAUAAUAUGAUUCUAAGUUAUGACAUGUUGCUCAAUCUGCCUCGAGAAUAGAACGCAUCCCUGCUGCUGUGUGCCUUGUGGACACGUCUUCUGCAAAGAUUGUAUUGAAUCCUGGGCUGAAAACACCAGAGAAUGUCCAGACUGCAGGAGACGCAUUGACAGUUUACAAAUUAUCUUUGGAAUGGAAGAAAGAAGACAUGAUCCCGAUGAAUCUGAAAACCAACCAACAGGAUAUAUAAGCAGCUUCCCACUACGCCACAGGAUUCUUCUGGAAAAGUAUUGGAUGUUUGUUUUAAUUGGGAUAAUCAUGGUUGCCUUUCUGUUCUUUAUGGAUCUGAACUCCUCCAGCAGUUACAUUACCGCAAUACCAAGUGCAAUCCUGAGUGUCUUGUGGGACAUCAUUGUAUUCAUUGUAUCUCUUUUGUUUCAAUUGUUGAAGUUCCCAUUUCAGUUUCUGUCCAAUAUUGACAGUUAUUGUGACUCCUUUUCAUCUGCCAUGCAUCAUUUGUUUUGGUUCCUUAUUUAUGUUUUUAUCAUUGUUUUUGUUGUUUGGUAUUGUAUAAAUACAGUAAAAGUUACAAAAGCUCGUAAAGAGUGGAAAGAGUGGAGAAAAAAAUGCCGUUAAGAUUUGUUGAUGCACAAUUAAAAUUACAAUGAAUACAUAUGUAUUGAAUUUUUGUUGGGUUGUUCAAAUCUGUGACAUUUGGAAGCUAGCAGCAUGAAAAGUAUCAUUUACCAUACCCUUCUUGAUUUUUAGUUGACUGAGGUUCAAUGAUUAUUACAUGUACUUCAAAGUUUCCUCUCUAACUAAGUCUUAAAUGUGCAUAGUUUUGAGGUAGGUUUAUUUUUAGUUUAAUGAGGUGACUUAUUUAAGAAGUGUUAGUAUUUAUAUGCUUAUUUGCAAAAAACAUAUUUGUUUGCAUUUCACAGCCCUUAAAAAAGAAAUAUACACGUAUUAGUAGUGUUUUCUGUAAAAAAUUAUUUACAUUCAUGUACCAGUACACUUUUGUUUGCUUUUAAAUUUCAAAUGGUAACUACUAACACAUUGGUAAUAGAUGUUUUAAUGAACUAGACUAAAUUAGCCAUUAACUUUGUUCUAGGCAAAUGUAUUAUGUCUAAAGCUUUAUAUCCCUUUUAAGUAUUUUGUGCAAUAGUUUAAUUUUUGAACAAUGAUAUUUUUUUCCGUUGUACCUGUUCUUCACUUUCCUGUUAAUUCUUUUAUAAAUUGAAGAAAUCAAGAAAAAUAAAAAAUAAA